rnacentral:rRNA from 1 species
UACAGAGGAUGCAAGCGUUAUCCGGAAUGAUUGGGCGUAAAGCGUCUGUAGGUGGCUUUUUAAGUCCGCCGUCAAAUCCCAGGGCUCAACCCCGGGCCUGCAGUCGAUACGGGCAGACUAGAGUGCGGUAGGGGAGACUGGAAUUCCUGGUGUAGCGGUGAAAUGCGCAGAUAUCAGGAGGAACACCGGUGGCGAAGGCGGGUCUCUGGGCCGUAACUGACGCUGAGGAGCGAAAGCGUGGGGAGCAAACAGG